CUUGCCUGAGCCUGAACCAUCAUUUUUUUUAAGUUAGAGCUUUAAGAAUACAGCAGGACAUAAUGUUUUUCUUGGAGUAGGAGAAUGUGAGGUUGGCAGUGGAAAGA
rnacentral:pre_miRNA from 1 species